AUUUAUAUAAUAUAAAAAUUAUAUUUGAUUUCCAAUCAGAAAAUCUAGUAAUUCUAGUAUAAAUA
rnacentral:tRNA from 1 species